UACGUAGGGUGCAAGCGUUAAUCGGAAUUACUGGGCGUAAAGCGUGCGCAGGCGGUUUUGCAAGUCGGUUGUGAAAUCCCCGGGCUCAACCUGGGAACUGCAUCCGAGACUGCAUUGCUAGAGUAUGGGAGAGGAAAGCGGAAUUUCUGGUGUAGCAGUGAAAUGCGUAGAUAUCAGAAGGAACAUCAGUGGCGAAGGCGGCUUUCUUGGACCAAAUACU
rnacentral:rRNA from 1 species